AUGUACUCACCUACACCUCUUGCUUUGCAGCCCAAUGAGGACUCGCUGAGGACCUCCUCCCCACAGGGAUCAAGGCUGGAGCAACGCUUUGGCAAGAUGUCCUCGAAGCAGUUCUGCAGGAGAGGGCCCCGGGCCUUUAGCUGGGGGCCCUAUCUGCGUCAGGCUGGGCCAUCGCCUCCACGUGCUCAUGGCCCCCGGGAUGCCUGGCGCAAUCCUCCAUGGGAGCAGCAGCACCGAAGAGCUGGGGGAAGAAUGCGUCUGGUAAGAGAUGGGGGUGAGCAGCUGGGCAGUAUGGGGUGGGCAGAGCUGUUGGGGUUCUCCUCCAAAUUUGGGUUGUCCAAAGGGUGGGACUCCCCUGGGAGGAGGAGAGUUGGGAACCCAGAGCACAACCAAUUUCCCCCCUGGAAGCCUGCAGGAUGCGUGGCUGCUCCAAAUCAGCUGCUGGCCUCACCUGCAGUGGUUUGCUUUGGCAGCCCGGUGCCAGGCAGCCCAGGCCUUUCCCUGGCCCUGCUAACAUCCACCAGUACGAGGAGAAUUGGAGAUGGGCCCCCCAGAACCGUGAUGUGCCACCACCUCCCUGGAUGUACAGAGAGGACCAUCAGAGCCAUGAGAUACCACAGCUGCGUCACCGGGACUUCUUUGCCCAGCCUGAGUUCCCCAGCCAGGAGCAGCGUCCUGCUGGAUUCCCUCGGGAGCAAGAAGACAACUGCUCACCCCAGCGCCAUUGUGGCCCACGCCGGAGACGCUGCCGACUCCUUCGGCCCAUCCAGCAGGAGACAGCAGACAACAGCUGUUCUCCCCACAGCUCCCAAGGUUGGUGCUGCUGCAGCGCUGGCUGCCGCCCAGGACCCCUCUGUGGUGUGUGCAGCCAGCAGCGUCUGCAUGGGGAGGGUUGGCACUUUGUGUAUUAAGAGCCGUUGUGUUUCCGCAGGGUACCAUCCAUCCUCCAAGCCCUCUCAGUCCUGCUCCCCAGAGAGCCAGCUGGGGCUCAGAGAGCAUCUCGCUGCUCCCCAGUCACCUGCUGCCUGCAAAAACAGUCUGCAAAGCGCGCAGCAGGUGGAUGAGGGCCAGCGGGUGGCAAGCAGUGAGGCACUGGAACGGCCCAGGCGUGCAGAGAAGAGCUCAGAGAAGAGCCCGGGCACUGACCCCCAGGCAGCGGAGCAGAAGCCAGCGGCAGGAGCAAAGCCAGUAUGUGUGCACCUCUUUCCCGAGUGCAUACUGAGAGACUUUCACCCCGGGAGCUGCCCAGCUCAGGGGAUCCCUUCGACCUGUGUCACACCUUGCUUCUCUCUUGCACUCUUCACCUCGGUAUCUCUUGGACAGAAAUGGAAGCGGGAUGUUUUCCUGACUUUUCUCUUGGGCUGCACAUCCCCCGGUUUCCUUUGGGUUUCAGCACUCUGCCUGUCCUGUCUCCCAGCUCUUUUCUCCUGGACAGAUGAACAUCCCUGCCUCAUGCUAUUGCGUGUCUGCAGGUUGGGCCUGAAGGAGGAGAGGGAGCUGCAGGCAACCAGCAGCUCUCUGCCCUGGAGUUGGAGCCGGUCUCCUCGGAGACAACCAGCACCAGCGAGGAGGAAGGCUUGGAGCUGGCUGCAGGCUUCCAGAGCUCACCCCGCCCCCUGCGCUCCGCACUUUCCCCCACCAGCACAGACCUGCGCUCUGCUGCCAUCCUCACCAAGAAGGAGAGCAUCGAGCAGGGGUACCACGACUUCUGCCUCAGCUUUGCCCUGGUGUCCUCGCUGCUGCUGCAGAAGGAGCCCUCCAUGGAGGCGAUGCUGA
ensembl:lncRNA